rnacentral:rRNA from 1 species
AGCAGCAGUGGGAAUAUUGCACAGUAGGGGAAACCCUGAUGCAGCCAUGCCGCGUGUGUGAAGAAGGCCUUUCGGGUUGUAAAGCACUUUCAGUAGGGAGGAAGGUAGUGUAGUUAACACCUGCAUUAUUUGACGUUACCUACAGAAGAAGCACCGGCUAACUCCGUGCCAGCAGCCGCGGUAAUACGGAGGGGUGCGAGCGUUAAUCGGAAUUACUGGGCGUAAAGCGCAUGCAGGCGGCCUGUUAAGUCAGAUGUGAAAGCCCGGGGCUUAACCUCGGAAUUGCAUUUGAAACUGGCAGGCUAGAGUCUUGUAGAGGGGGGUAGGAAUUUCAGGUGUAGCGGUGAAAUGCGUAGAGAUCUGAAGGAAUACCAGUGGCGAAGGCGGCCCCCUGGACAAAGACUGACGCUCAGAUGCGAAAGCGUGGGGAGCAAACAGGAUUAGAUACCCUGGUAG